rnacentral:rRNA from 1 species
GAUGAACGCUGGCGGCGUGCCUAAUACAUGCAAGUCGAGCGAACGUACGAGAAGCUUUCUUCUCGGGUGUUAGCGUCGGACGGGUGAGUAACACAUGGAUAACCUACCUAUAAGACUUGGAUAACAUCGUGAAACCGGAGCUAUAACCCGAUAAUAUUUUUAACCUCAUGGUUCAAAAUGGAAAGACGGUCUUUCUGUCACUGAUAGAUGGAUCCCCGCUUCUUUAGCUAUUUGGUAAGUGAACGGCUUACCAAGCCAACGAUGCAUAGCAGACACCCAAGGGUGAUAGGGCACACUGGAACGGAGAGACGGUCCAGCCUCCUAGGGGAGGACGCAGUGGGGAAGUUUCCGAAAUGGGAGAAAGCGUGACGGAGCAAUGCAGCGUGAGUGAUGAAGGUAUUCGGGUCGUAAAACUCUGUUAUUAGGGAAGAACAUAUGUGUAAGUAACUGUGCACGUCUUGACGGUACCUAAUAAGAAAGCGACGGCUAACUACGUG